rnacentral:misc_RNA from 1 species
AAUUUUGCACUUCCUUCAAUGAAGAGAGCACUUUUUUUGUGCUUUAUGCAUCACUUUGACUGCACCUUAUGCUUUUAACGACCUUGUCUCGGACAAAAAAAUAUAAUGCAGUCAUGAAUUCCAGCACAUAAAUCAGGUUAAGGUAUGCGAUCUGGCUGCUGUCCAACAAACACAAUGAGAACAAAGUGUAGUGGAUUUUUGCUAGAUGAGAGACUUAAAAUCCAGUUUUCACAGCACUGAACCUGAUAAAUAGCAUGGGAAAGAAGUGUCCCAAAAAUAUUUGGUCAAAUA